UACGUAGGGGGCAAGCGUUGUCCGGAUUUAUUGGGCGUAAAGAGCGUGUAGGCGGCCAUACAGGUCAGCUGUGAAAACUCGAGGCUCAACCUCGAGACGUCGGUUGAAACCGUAUGGCUAGAGUCCGGAAGAGGAGAGUGGAAUUCCCGGUGUAGCGGUGAAAUGCGCAGAUAUCGGAAGGAACACCGAUGGCGAAAGCAGCGUGCUGGACCUUUUCUGACGCUGAGGCGCGAAAGCCAGGGGAGCAAACGGG
rnacentral:rRNA from 1 species